UGGUGGAUAUUGCACAAUGGGCGAAAGCCUGAUGCAGCGACGCCGCGUGGGGGAUGAAGGCCUUCGGGUUGUAAACUUCUUUUGCUCUGAACAAGGCAUGCCUUUGGGGUGUGUUGAGUGUAGGGGUUGAUUAGCGCCGGCUAACUACGUGCCAGCAGCCGCGGUAAUACGUAGGGCGCGAGCGUUGUCCGGAAUUAUUGGGCGUAAAGGGCUUGUAGGUGGCUGGUUGCGUCUGUCGUGAAAGCUCAUGGCUUAACUGUGGGUUUGCGGUGGGUACGGGCUGGCUUGAGUGCAGUAGGGGAGGCUGGAAUUCCUGGUGUAGCGGUGGAAUGCGCAGAUAUCAGGAGGAAUACCGGUGGCGAAGGCGGGUCUCUGGGCUGUUACUGACGCUGAGGAGCGAAAGCGUGGGGAGCGAACAGG
rnacentral:rRNA from 1 species